CAAUAGCGUAUAUUAUUGAUGUUGCAGUUGAAACGUUCGUAGUCGAACUUUAUGUGCUUGGAUACUAUAACAUCUUUGAUGUGAUAGUGUUUUCAGCACAGAUCAUGUAAACCAACACCAUAUGUUAAAAAAGUUGUUUGAUUUGCAUCUUACUUUGAGUGAAUCGGCGUGUUCCACGCAAGCAUGUGCCUUGAACGAUUUACCAUAGCAUAAAUAGAGUAUGGAAGUAUUUGUUUGCUUGUUCACGGAUAUAUAAAUACUUCCAUACUCUAUUUUUCUGAUACUGACAAGAACGGUUGAGGGCAUUCGUAUUCAACUGCUAGAGGUGAAAUUCUUUGAUUAAUUGAGGACGAACUAUUGCGGAAGCAUCUGCUAUGGACGUUUCUUUUGA
rnacentral:rRNA from 1 species